UUGGAAGUACUCCAGAAAGAGGUGGCUUAUCAUAGACUAGGUAAUCAAGAUGCAGCUGAGACAAUUGCCAAGCUGCAGGCAGAAAUAAGGGAGAUGUGUGCUGUCAGGUCUAUUAAAAAGGAGGUUGAUGUUGGAACUGCUAUAGCUCCUAACAGAAGUGUCAGUGCUAACCUCAAGGAAGAGAUAACAAAACUUCAUUCACAGGGUAGCACAAUAGCUAACCUUGAGGAGCAGUUAGAGAAUGUUCAGAAGUCAAUAGACAAAUUGGUAAUGUCUCUUCCAAGCAGUAAUCAAGAAUCCAAUGGUGAAGCAGCC
rnacentral:lncRNA from 1 species